rnacentral:rRNA from 1 species
GACGAACGCUGGCGGCGUGCUUAACACAUGCCAGUCGAACGGUGAAGCUCCAGCUUGCUGGAGUGGAUCAGUGGCGAACGGGUGAGUAACACGUGAGCAACCUGCCCCUAACUCUGGAAUAAGCGCUGGAAACGGCGUCUAAUACUGGAUACGAGAAGGGUCCGCAUGGGCACUUUCUGGAAAGUUUUUCGGUUGGGGAUGGGCUCGCGGCCUAUCAGCUUGUUGGUGAGGUAAUGGCUCACCAAGGCGACGACGGGUAGCCGGCCUGAGAGGGCGACCGGCCACACUGGGACUGAGACACGGCCCAGACUCCUACGGGAGGCAGCAGUGGGGAAUCUUGCGCAAUGGGCGAAAGCCUGACGCAGCCAUGCCGCGUGAAUGAUGAAGGUCUUAGGAUUGUAAAAUUCUUUCACCGGGGACGAUAAUGACGGUACCCGGAGAAGAAGCCCCGGCUAACUUCGUG